CACACACUAAAACACAUUAGAAACACACACACACUUCACGUUAACACCAUUUCUUUGGUGUUCAAGCUUUUGACUUCCGAUCUGAGCACCGAGACGAACGCCGAUCAUCUUUUCGAUCACGUAUCUAAGUAGGUCCUUUUGGGAAGUAACGACUUGAGGGAGAGAGUGACGUUACUCAUUGAUACAGAGACACAACGAGGUUGAGCUGAUGUGAUGAUGGUGCUGCAAUGAGCGGAGUCUCCAGGGUUGUUAAUAAAUAGUUAACCUGUCUAGAAUAUGUCUUCAUACAUAUGUCUAGCUACUUUCCGCUGCAAGAUGUUGUUGAUGUUAUAGUAUGUUAUGUCAUACUUUGAGUCUUAAGAGAAUGGUUUCAUACGAUGUAUAACUUGAUUAAUGAUAUUAAUUAAGUUUUAUGCUGUCUUUCAUAGACUGUUUUCAAUUGAGUAUUAAUGAAUAAAAAUGACGAGUUUUAUUAA